rnacentral:lncRNA from 1 species
UUCUAUAAAUACAUAUACUUCAAUGAUCAUCUAUAUAUUUUUUCCUCUCCUACAUUGUUAAAGACUUUCAUCAAAAUAUAUAUGUAUAUAUAUUAUUAAAAGAGUGAAUGAUCUCAAGUCUAGAAAUAUUUCAGCUCACUCAAAUGAUUCUUAAAAGAAAGAAAAUAUAAAUGCUUUUGAAAGAAUUUGACCUUCAAAUAAAUCAUUUUCUGAUUAAUAUUUCAGUACAUUUUCUCAAAGAUUAAGAGGAAGCAUAACUUGUUCUUAAAAGAUUAAAAAGAGUAAUUGCUAUAAAUUUUGAAUAAUUCUAGAUCACUCUACAUUCUUGAUAUCAUAAAGGUUUAGUUUUAUUCACGUUUAUCAUUAAAAUCUGAAAUUCAACUAAAGAUAAGAGAAAGAAUACUAAAUGUGAAGUGGUAUUAAACUUUGUGCUUCGUUGAAUAUCUUUUGAAAGUUGGAUUUUUAUCUGUACUUAAUUGGUAAAUCACUUGUUUUGAAAACUAAGUGAAAAGAAUUCCAUUUGUCUUAGUAUUGGAAAUUUACUUUGGAAUCUACUAAUGAGUUCUUAUUGGCUUGCACUUUAGUGUUUCAAUCAUGAGCCAAUUCAUUUUAAUUGAUUUUGAUGCUAUGAUCUUUAAAGGAGUAAAAGAAAGUCUUUAAGAGAGGUUUAAAAGAACUUUCAAAGCCCUGAAUUUUAUAUAUCCUACAUUGCAUAAAUUCAUGUCUUGGUAUCUAUGCUCCAAUACUUUUAUAUCAUGAAAGAACUUUGAAGUCAUUAAGAAUUAAGGAUUCAACAUAAUCUUAU